rnacentral:rRNA from 1 species
UGAGGAAUAUUGGGUCAAUGGGCGAGAGCCUGAACCAGCCAAGCCGCGUGAAGGACUAAGGCCCUAUGGGUCGUAAACUUCUUUUGUCGGGGAACAAAAAGGUGGACGAGUCCACUGUUGCGUGUACCCGAAGAAAAAGCAUCGGCUAACUCCGUGCCAGCAGCCGCGGUAAUACGGAGGAUGCGAGCGUUAUCCGGAUUUAUUGGGUUUAAAGGGUGCGUAGGUGGCUUGGUAAGUCAGCGGUAAAAUUUCGGGGCUUAACCUCGUUUAGCCGUUGAAACUGUCGAGCUCGAGAGGGAGAGAAGUAGGCGGAAUGCGCAGUGUAGCGGUGAAAUGCAUAGAUAUUGCGCAGAACUCCGAUUGCGAAGGCAGCCUACCGGCUUCUAUCUGACACUGAGGCACGAAAGCGUGGGGAUCAAACAGGAUUAGAUACCCUGGUAGU